CAGCCGCCGCGGGAAUACGUAGGGUGCAAGCGUUAUCCGGAAUUAUUGGGCGUAAAGAGCUCGUAGGCGGUUUGUCGCGUCUGCUGUGAAAACUGGAGGCUCAACCUCCAGCCUGCAGUGGGUACGGGCAGACUAGAGUGCGGUAGGGGAGAUUGGAAUUCCUGGUGUAGCGGUGGAAUGCGCAGAUAUCAGGAGGAACACCGAUGGCGAAGGCAGAUCUCUGGGCCGUAACUGACGCUGAGGAGCGAAAGCGUGGGGAGCGAACAGGAUUAGAUACCCCAGUAGUCCCUGUCUCUUAUAC
rnacentral:rRNA from 1 species